CAGAAUGAAUGAGAACCAAAGCAGAAACCUGUUCUACUCAUCUCAGGUGAUGGAAACACUGAGACCUUUUCCAGAAGUGACUUCAACCAAGUUUCACAACCCUGGCAGAAACAUCUAUGUUGAAUAUCUGGCUAUUAUAUUCACUAAAGACUGGUGAAGACAUGAUCCACAAUCCAUAUACACCGACCAUUUGCUUUCAGACUAGGCACAGAUCUAUGGGAGAUGCUUUCUAACUACAUGGCUUUUUUUAAUGAAUUUUAAAAAUAAAUUAAAUAGUCUGCAGUGUGAUUGGAGUAUGAAUUAAUAGGUUGUCAAAAAACAUUAUUCUGCCAGGUCCUGGUAGAAGAAACUUCUGGCUUAUAAAAUACAGAGAAAGGUUGUGAAAUCCAUAGUAUUGAAAUAGAAAUUAUUGUUCCCCAGUAUUGUGUUAGGUAUUGCUUCUUUGUAAUAUUAAAAAACCUGGUAAAAUAAUUAACAUAUUAGCUCAGCAGUUUU
rnacentral:lncRNA from 1 species